rnacentral:rRNA from 1 species
GCAAGUCGAGGGGUAACAGAUGAAGAGCUUGCUCAGAUGGCUGAGGACCGGCGCACGGGUGAGUAACACGUAUGCAACCUACCUUGUACAGAGGGAUAGCCCAGAGAAAUUUGGAUUAAUACCUCAUAAUAUUUUUAACUCGCAUGAGUUUUAAAUUAAAACUUCGGUGGUAAAAGAUGGGCAUGCGUUCUAUUAGUUUGUUGGUGAGGUAACGGCUUACCAAGACUACGAUAGAUAGGGGUCUGAGAGGAUGAUC